rnacentral:rRNA from 1 species
GCGGAGGCAUCCGUGGGCUACCACCCUGGUAGUACUGGGACUCGCACCACAGGCAAUGAAGCUGGGCUUGGGACACUGUCAGGUGGGCAGGUUGACUGGGGCGGUCGCCUCCCAAAAGGUAACGGAGGCGAUCAAAGGUUCUCUCAGUACGGUCGGAAAUCGUACGUAGGGUGUAAAGGCAAAAGAGAGCUUGAUUGCAAGACAUACAGGUCGAGCAAGGAUGAAAAUCGGACUUAGUGAUCCGGUGGUUCUGCGUGGAAGGGCCAUCGCUCAACGGAUAAAAGCUACCCUGGGGAUAACAGGCUUA